rnacentral:rRNA from 1 species
GACGAACGCUGGCGGCGUGCCUAAUACAUGCAAGUAGAACGCUGAAGGAGGAGCUUGCUUCUCUGGAUGAGUUCCGAACGGGUGAGUAACGCGUAGGUAACCUGCCUGGUAGCGGGGGAUAACUAUUGGAAACGAUAGCUAAUACCGCAUAAUAGUAGAUGUUGCAUGACAUUUGCUUAAAAGGUGCAAUUGCAUCACUACCAGAUGGACCUGCGUUGUAUUAGCUAGUUGGUGGGGUAACGGCUCACCAAGGCGACGAUACAUAGCCGACCUGAGAGGGUGAUCGGCCACACUGGGACUGAGACACGGCCCAGACUCCUACGGGAGGCAGCAGUAGGGAAUCUUCGGCAAUGGACGGAAGUCUGACCGAGCAACGCCGCGUGAGUGAAGAAGGUUUUCGGAUCGUAAAGCUCUGUUGUAAGAGAAGAACGAGUGUGAGAGUGGAAAGUUCACACUGUGACGGUAUCUUACCAGAAAGGGACGGCUAACUACGUG